rnacentral:rRNA from 1 species
UACGUAGGGGGCAAGCGUUGUCCGGAUUUAUUGGGCGUAAAGAGCGUGUAGGCGGCCAUACAGGUCCGUUGUGAAAACUCGAGGCUCAACCUCGAGACGCCGAUGGAAACCAUCCAGCUAGAGUCCGGAAGAGGAGAGUGGAAUUCCUGGUGUAGCGGUGAAAUGCGCAGAUAUCAGGAAGAACACCCGUGGCUAAGGCGGCUCUCUAGUAAGGUACUGACGCUGAGACGCGAAAGCGUGGGGAGCGAACAGG